rnacentral:rRNA from 1 species
UAAUUAUGUUUUUAAGUUUUAAAUAAUUAUAGGUUAAAUUUUAAUUGUUAUAAGUGUUUAAUUAUAAUUUUAAAUUUUGUUAAUCGAAUUAGAUUAGUACCUAAUUAGUCAAAAGUUAAAAGAGCAGAAGUAAAGUAGAAUUUAAACUGAAAGAAUAUUGGCAGAUUUUCUAAAUUAUCUUUGGAGGUUGAGUGAUAAUUGAGAACCCUCAUUAACUACUUUUUUAGUAGUCUCAUGUAUGAUCGUUUAUUAUAUGCUUAAGGCAUAUAAUUAAAAAUUUUUAUUUAUAAAAAUAGAUAUAUAUUUGGUUUAUAUAAAAGUAAUAUUUGACCUACAAUAAUUUGUAAUUGUGGAUCUACUUUUUAGCGGAGUAGUGAAAAUGUAAAAGACAGUAAAAAAAUUUUUAUGGUUUUUUGAAGAUUAU